rfam:Schistosoma mansoni strain Puerto Rico chromosome 2, complete genome
AUCCAUCUGACGAGUCCCAAAUAGGAUCAUACGCGCGUCCUGAAU